GAUGAACGCUGGCGGCGUGCCUAAUACAUGCAAGUCGAGCGAACGGACGAGAAGCUUGCUUUUCUGAUGUUAGCGGCGGACGGGUGAGUAACACGUGGAUAACCUACCUAUAAGACUGGGAUAACUUCGGGAAACCGGAGCUAAUACCGGAUAAUAUUUUGAACCGCAUGGUUCAAAAGUGAAAGACGGUCUUGCUGUCACUUAUAGAUGGAUCCGCGCUGCAUUAGCUAGUUGGUAAGGUAACGGCUUACCAAGGCAGCGAUGCAUAGCCGACCUGAGAGGGUGAUCGGCCACACUGGAACUGAGACACGGUCCAGACUCCUACGGGAGGCAGCAGUAGGGAAUCUUCCGCAAUGGGCGAAAGCCUGACGGAGCAACGCCGCGUGAGUGAUGAAGGUCUUCGGAUCGUAAAACUCUGUUAUUAGGGAAGAACAUAUGUGUAAGUAACUGUGCACAUCUUGACGGUACCUAAUCAGAAAGCCACGGCUAACUACGUG
rnacentral:rRNA from 1 species